CAAGGAAGGGCGUAGUAAGCGACGAAAUGCUUCAGGGAGUUGAAAAUAAGCGUAGAUCCGGAGAUUCCCGAAUAGGUCAACCUUUCGAACUACUGCUGAAUCCAUGGGUAGGCAAGAG
rnacentral:ncRNA from 1 species